AAGUCUUAUUGUACGACGGUAGUCAUUCCCAGUGCGGUUUUAACCCAGAAGUCCUCGGCCUAUUUCGUGGCAGCAGCCGCGGUAUAUGUAGGGUGGCAAGCGUUAUCCGGAUUAUUUGGGGGUAAAGCGAGCGGCAGGCGGUCUUUUAAGUUUAAUGUGAAAGCCUUUGGGCUCCACCCGAAGAAAGUGCAUUGGAAAACUGGGAGACUUGAGUGCAGAAGAGGGACAGUGGAACUCCCAUGUGUAGCGGUGAAAAUGUGUAGAUAUAUGGAAGAACACCAGUGGCGAAGGCGGCUGUCUGGUCUGUAAACUGACGCUGAGGCUCGAAAGCAUGGGUAGCGAACAGGAUUAGAUACCCUGGUAGUCCAUGCCGUAAACGAUGAUUACUAAGUGUUGGAGGGUUUCCGCCCUUCAGUGCUGCAGCUAACGCAUUAAGUAAUCCGCCUGGGGAGUACGACCGCAAGGUUGAAACUCAAAAGAAUUGACGGGGGCCCGCACAAGCGGUGGAGCAUGUGGUUUAAUUCGAAGCUACGCGAAGAACCUUACCAGGUCUUGACAUCUUCUGCCAACCUAAGAGAUUAGGCGUUCCCUUCGGGGACAGAAUGACAGGUGGUGCAUGGUUGUCGUCAGCUCGUGUCGUGAGAUGUUGGGUUAAGUCCCGCAACGAGCGCAACCCUUAUUACUAGUUGCCAGCAUUCAGUUGGGCACUCUAGUGAGACUGCCGGUGACAAACCGGAGGAAGGUGGGGACGACGUCAAAUCAUCAUGCCCCUUAUGACCUGGGCUACACACGUGCUACAAUGGAUGGUACAACGAGUCGCGAAACCGCGAGGUUUAGCUAAUCUCUUAAAACCAUUCUCAGUUCGGACUGUAGGCUGCAACUCGCCUACACGAAGUCGGAAUCGCUAGUAAUCGCGGAUCAGCAUGCCGCGGUGAAUACGUUCCCGGGCCUUGUACACACCGCCCGUCACACCAUGAGAGUUUGUAACACCCAAAGCCGGUGGGGUAACCUUUUAGGAGCUAGCCGUCUAAGGUGGGACAGAUGAUUAGGGUGAAGUCGAAACAAGGAGGCCCACG
rnacentral:rRNA from 1 species